GACGAACGCUGGCGGCGUGCUUAACCCAUGCAAGUCGAACGAAGUGGCGAACGGGUGAGUAACGCGUAAUCAACCUGCCCUUCAGAGGGGGACAACAGUUGGAAACGACUGCUAAUACCGCAUACUGAAUGAGGGGAUUGCGUCUGAUUAGCUAGUUGGAGGGGUAACGGCCCAACAAGGCGAUGAUCAGUAGCCGGGCUGGGAGGAUGAACGGGCAAAAUGGGACUGGGACACGGCCCAGACUUCUAAGGGAGGCAGCAGUGGGGAAACUUCCGAAAUGGACGCAAGUCUGACGGAGCAACGCCGCGGGAGUGAUGACGGCCUUCGGGUUGUAAAGCUCUGUUAAGCGGGACGCGGUACCGGAAUAGAAAGCCACGGCUAACUACGUGCCAGCAGCCGCGGUAAUAC
rnacentral:rRNA from 1 species